UUCAAGAUGAAUAGGCAGAGCAGGGUGCAAUUUGUGAUAAAAGCAGAGGGCGAGAUGUUUUUUGAUCAUGCACAACAAAACUAAAC